rnacentral:misc_RNA from 1 species
UCCUGGUUAACCCAGGCAGUCUCACUAGAGUUCCCACCUUCACGUGUUGGCAACUAGUGAUAAGGGUUGCGCUCGUUGCGGGACUUAACCCAACACCUCACGGCACGAGCUGACGACAGCCAUGCAGCACCUGUGCAAAGGCCCCGAAGGGACACCAUAUCUCUACUGCUGUCCUUUGCAUGUCAAGCCUGGGUAAGGUUCUUCGCGUUGCAUCGAAUUAAACCACAUGCUCCACUGCUUGUGCGGGUCCCCGUCAAUUCUUUUGAGUUUCAGCCUUGCGACUGUACUCCCCAGGCGGUAUACUUAACGCGUUAGCUCCGGCACAGUCGGGGCUGAGUCCAACUACACCAAGUAUACAUCGUUUACGGCAAGGACUAC